rnacentral:rRNA from 1 species
CCUACGGGCGGCAGCAGUGGGGAAUAUUGGGCAAUGGGCGCAAGCCUGACCCAGCAACGCCGCGUGAAGGAAGAAGGCUUUCGGGUUGUAAACUUCCUUUAAGGGGGAAGAGCAGAAGACGGUACCCCUUGAAUAAGCCACGGCUAACUACGUGCCAGCAGCCGCGGUAAUACGUGGGUGGCAAGCGUUGUCCGGAUUUACUGGGUGUAAAGGGCGUGUGGCCGGAGAGACACGUCAGAUGUGAAAUCCAAGGCCUCAACCCGUGAAGUGGAUGUGAAACUGUUUCCCUUGUGUGUCGGAGGGGUAAUCGAAAUUCCUUGUGUAGCUGUGAAGUGCGUAGAUAUAAGGGAGAACACCAGUGGCGAAGGCGGAUUACUGGACGAUAACUGGCGGUGGGGCGCGAGAGCGUGGGGAGCAAACAGGAUUAGACCCCUGUAGUC